rnacentral:rRNA from 1 species
AUUGAACGCUGGCGGCAUGCCUUACACAUGCAAGUCGAACGGCAGCACGGGUGCUUGCACCUGGUGGCGAGUGGCGAACGGGUGAGUAAUACAUCGGAACAUGUCCUGUAGUGGGGGAUAGCCCGGCGAAAGCCGGAUUAAUACCGCAUACGAUCUACGGAUGAAAGCGGGGGACCUUCGGGCCUCGCGCUAUAGGGUUGGCCGAUGGCUGAUUAGCUAGUUGGUGGGGUAAAGGCCUACCAAGGCGACGAUCAGCAGCUGGUCUGAGAGGACGACCAGCCACACUGGGACUGAGACACGGCCCAGACUCCUACGGGAGGCAGCAGUGGGGAAUUUUGGACAAUGGGCGAAAGCCUGAUCCAGCAAUGCCGCGUGUGUGAAGAAGGCCUUCGGGUUGUAAAGCACCUUUGUCCGGAAAGAAAUCCUUGGCCCUAAUACGGUCGGGGGAUGACGGUACCGGAAGAAUAAGCACCGGCUAACUACGUG